rnacentral:tRNA from 1 species
GCGCCCGUAGCUCAACUGGAUAGAGCAGCGGUGUUCUAGGCCGUAGGUUGCAGGUUCAACUCCUGCCGGGCGCGCCA